CCUACGGGAGGCAGCAGUGGGGAAUCUUGCGCAAUGGGCGAAAGCCUGACGCAGCAACGCCGCGUGCGGGAAGAAGGCUUUCGGGCUGUAAACCGCUUUCAGCAGGAACGAAAAUGACGGUACCUGCAGAAGAAGGAGCGGCCAACUAUGUGCCAGCAGCCGCGGUGAUACAUAGGCUUCAAGCGUUGUCCGGAUUUAUUGGGCGUAAAGAGUUCGUAGGCGGUCGAGUAAGUCGGGUGUGAAAAUUCUGGGCUCAACCCAGAGACGCCACCCGAUACUGCUUGACUUGAGUUCGAUAGGGGAGUGGGGAAUUCCUAGUGUAGCGGUGAAAUGCGCAGAUAUUAGGAGGAACACCGGUGGCGAAGGCGCCACUCUGGAUCGAUACUGACGCUGAGGAACGAAAGCAUGGGUAGCAAACAGGAUUAGAUACCCUGGUAGUCCAUGCCGUAAACGGUGGGCACUAGGUGUGGGUUUCUAUUAACGAAAUCCGCGCCGUCGCUAAACGCAUUAAGUGCCCCGCCUGGGGAGUCGGUGCAAGCUAAAACUUAAAGGAAUUGAACCGGNUGAGAGUGCGAGACGACACGAGGAGAGG
rnacentral:rRNA from 1 species